UUUAUCUACCCCUUGCUUCCUAUUUUGCCCCUACUAAAACAAAAAAUUACUUUACUUUUCCUUUUCUCAUUCUUAAAGCCAAUAAUUCCGGGUUCCUGCACCUCUGCUUUCCUUUCUUUCUUCUUGCCUGAGAAAACCCACAAAUAAUCCCAUUAAAAAUCCUGCUCGACCUCUUUUUUCCUUUCCCCCAUGAAAAAUCAAAUUUACACCUUUUUGAUUUUUUCUAUGUGAAUUCUUAGCUAAUAUUGCUGUAUCGGUGGCCUUGAUAUGUAAUUGGUGCUUUGUAGGGUAAUUUGCAAGUUGCAAACUUAUAUGCUGGUACCGACAGUGUAGAGCUCAAAGGCAUGAAAUAAUUGUUGAAUUGAAUUAUUUCUUAAGGCAUUGUAUCUGCAAGUUGCAAGUGUAUAUUCUUUUCUCAAAGAAGCCGUUCCUGGCAUUUUUAGAAUCCACCGGCUACUCUCAAGAAGAUGUGCUCCUUCAGAAGCCCAAAGCUGGGGUAUGUAUAGCUUCAAAUCAUUCUUAAUCAGAAUGCUUAAAUCACCCUUGAAUCAGGCUUUCUGAUCUAGAUUCAGAUGUGGGUUAAUAUCAGUUACUGAGUAGUAUAAUGCUUGCAGCUCCUGAAGCCUACUUUCACAAUUAUAUGUGAUAAAGAUUCAAAAUGCUUCCUUUGAUAAAGAUUCAAAAUACUUCCUUUUAUUGAUUCGUGGAACCCAUAGUAUCAAAGAUACACUAACAGCAGCUAGUGGUGUAGUGGUACCUUUCCUCUCUUUUAUUUUGCAUGAUGGUGGGAUAAGCAAUUUGGUUCUGGUUUUUGCAUAUUGUGGGAUGGUUGUUGCUGCUCGUUGGAUUGUUAAGCUCAACACUUCAUCCUUGCUUAAGGCUCUCAAUGACUAUCCUGACUACAAAGUUAAGGCUUCUAGGAUCACUUAGUGUAUAAAGGACACCAAAUAUUCUUGUAUAAAAGAGAACAAAUAUCUGCUACAGAUUUGUGGGGUGCAUUUCAAGGCCAAGGAUAUGGAGAAUUUAAUGACAUUAGAUCCAUUACUAUUAUGGUCGAUUAUAUUGUUCCAGCAGUUCUUCAACAACUUGGCAUGCUGAAAUACAGUUCAAAGCUUGCCAAAUUGAUUGUGGCUAAUAAUGAAAUAGAUUCAGGCAGUGAGGAGGAAGUUAAGCUAUGGACUUGCUCCAUAUAUGCUGUGGAGAGGAUGAAGGAGUUGAUCAGUAAAAAAUCAGGGAAGCAGGUGUUGAGCAAUUUAGUACUUGUAUAUUUCCUUUUGGUGCUUAGUGUGGAGUUAGACCUUUGGCUUUGGUCUUUUGGCAUUCAAUUUCCAUCUCUGCAACACCACUGAACACUUUCAACAUAUUACUGAGCUCACCAUAUCCGAUGGUGUCCUUCUUAAUUUAUGCUUCUAACUGUAAGAUUAUAGGGAUUAGCAUAGUAAGUUUUGGGGCGAAGUCAUUAGAAAGAUGUGUCUAUAAAUUCCUCGCAUCUAUUGUUCUGUUUGCAUGGUUGUAGCUUUUCUUAAUUUUGAGAAGUACUACUAAUAUUAGCCUUGAGUUGAUGAACCAAAAACUUAUUGUUUUAAAAAUUGAACAUUUGAUAUGUUGCUAUUACCUAUUUUGAGAUAUCUGUCACUUGUAUUUUUCUAUUCGCUGUAAAAAAAUUAGUGGCUUUGUAAUGUC